rnacentral:rRNA from 1 species
UACACUCCUACGGGAGGCAGCAGUGGGGAAUAUCGCACAAUGGGCGCAAGCCUGAUGCAGCCAUGCCGCGUGUAUGAAGAAGGCCUUCGGGUUGUAAAGUACUUUCAGCGGGGAGGAAGGCGAUAAGGUUAAUAACCUUGUCGAUUGACGUUACCCGCAGAAGAAGCACCGGCUAACUCCGUGCCAGCAGCCGCGGUAAUACGGAGGGUGCAAGCGUUAAUCGGAAUUACUGGGCGUAAAGCGCACGCAGGCGGUCUGUCAAGUCGGAUGUGAAAUCCCCGGGCUCAACCUGGGAACUGCAUUCGAAACUGGCAGGCUAGAGUCUUGUAGAGGGGGGUAGAAUUCCAGGUGUAGCGGUGAAAUGCGUAGAGAUCUGGAGGAAUACCGGUGGCGAAGGCGGCCCCCUGGACAAAGACUGACGCUCAGGUGCGAAAGCGUGGGGAGCAAACAGGAUUAGAAACCCUAGUAGUCCCA